rnacentral:tRNA from 1 species
GCAUUGAUGGUUCAGUGGUAAAAUGGUCGCCUACCAGGCGGGCGGCCCGGGUUCGAUUCCCGGCCGAUGCU